UACGUAGGGGGCGAGCGUUGUCCGGAUUUAUUGGGCGUAAAGAGCGUGUAGGCGGCCAGGUAGGUCCGUUGUGAAAACUCGAGGCUCAACCUCGAGAUGUCGGCGGAAACCGUCUGGCUAGAGUCCGGAAGAGGAGAGUGGAAUUCCUGGUGUAGCGGUGAAAUGCGCAGAUAUCAGGAAGAACACCCGUGGCGAAGGCGGCUCUCUGGGACGGUACUGACGCUGAGACGCGAAAGCGUGGGGAGCGAACAGG
rnacentral:rRNA from 1 species